GAGAGCCCUGGAGCGAGGCCGCCAGGGGGCCACACUGUCCCCGGGACUGUCUGGGUCAGCACCCAGCCGGGGUCCCCCUGGGCCUCGGAGAACCGAGCCCACGGCCAUACGCAGGGGGAAGGCCCCAACUGCCCGGGGGCGUCGGUUGGAGGCUGGAAUUCUCAGGCCUGCGGGGCUGUUGGGGGCCACAGGGGAGCCCUGGUCUCUGGACUUGCUUCUCGGGAAACAGGACCUCGGGUCUCAGGGGUGUCUCUUGGGGGUGCCAGCCCCACGAGCCUCAGCUCAGCCCUGGUGAACCGCCUGGACCCCCUCCCCGCAGCAGUUUGCAGAAGGGGCUCAACUGUCUUCUGGGAACACACGGGCAUCCUCCCCGCCAGAGCCUGGAGCCAGAGUGCAGGUCACAGGGGUCUUCUCCGCAGGGACCCACACCUGAGCGCGGGGUGCUGAGGGCGUCCUCAGGACUGGAUUGCCAGGUCACCUGGAGCUCGUGAGGCUGCAUGCUCGAGUGUGGUCCCGCCCCUGCCCCCCAGGACCUGUGCUCCCAUCAGGAGAGCCUGUCCAUGGUGGCUGCACCCAGCGACGGCUUCCAUGGGUCCCAGUGGAGGUCCACCUGCCUGUUGCCCACAGAGGAACAGAAGCGGGAUGUCGGUCACCCGGGCAGGGCGACCUUGGACGAGUCCCUGGGUGACAGAUCACCGUGGGAGGAAGAGCUCCUGGGCCAGAUCAGGGCCAUGUCAGACUCGCAGAGGAGCAGAGUGCUGGAGGCGAUCCAGCACCGCAUCGAGGAGCACACCCAGGUGAUCACCAUCCCCGGGGGCUCCAGUGGACUCGGGCUCCAGCUCCCCCGGGCAGGUCACUGGGGCCCGAGCACUGUGUUCUGUCUGCAGCUCCUCUGGAAGGAGGUGGCCGACCCUGGCAUCCGGGAGCUGCUGGCGCCCUUGAACCUGGAACCCCAGCAGCCUGUGGAGAAGGCCUUCCUCUUCCUGGUUUAUGGGCUGAUCCUCAGAGAGUGUGCCAGUAGCGACCUGGUGAGAAGGCACCUGAUGCGCCUCCUGGAGCUGUCGCACCAGACGGCCGGCCAGCGGGAGGGCAUGGCAGUGGCCAGCGGCAUAGCGUCGUCCUCGCACCUGCAGGAGGUGUGGGCCACGCUGGAGCACCUGGGCCGCACCAGGGUCCUGAGGACUGCAUGCACGUCCCCGGACUACCAGGAGCCGUACACCGACGUGCACUGGAGGUGGGUGAGCAGCACCUCCCUGCUCUGCUACGGGCACAUGGCCCUGCACGCCGGGGAGCGCAUCCUGCCCUGGGUGGACAACGUCAUCUCCAGGAUGGUCUACUACUUCUCCUGCAGCUGCUACGACAACAUCCUGGAAACCAGCUUCCUCUCGGCGGCCGUCAUGCUUGUGAAAGCCCUGAAGCAGGAGCACAGCACCCGGAGAUACAGAUUCACACAGAUACCAGAGCUUAUCCAGUGUCUCCUGGCCAUCCUCCAGAAGGAGCCCAACUUCCUGGCCACACUCUUCCGGCAGAAGAUCAUACUGGUCAUCAUGGAGCUCAGCAAGCUGCAGCCCAGCCUCAAACCCGUGGUCAAGUCCAGGAUCCUGCAGACCUGCCUGCAGAGCCUGUACAUGCUCCCGCCCAUGGAGAUGCUGAAGAGCUGCUUACCCCCGCUGGACUUGGCCCCGGACGUCAUGGUGCUGUACCAGAAGUCCAUGCAGGCGCUAGAUCUGCUCCUCCAGACCUUCAUCUCUGAGAACAAGAGCAUGGAUGAGAUGUGCUUCCUCUUGCAGCACACGGAGCCCUGGCUGAAGUCGGACAAGAGCCACGAGUGCAAGCGGGUGGUGCAGACCAUCUUCCUGCUUCUCAAGUACGUGGUGGACUACGUGAAACUCACUGACGAGGCCACCCCCUCCAUGCUGGGCCACCAGAUCGGCCUGCUGAUGCUGCUGUGGCGGGACAGGGACCCGGUCACCCAGAGCCACUCUCGCCAAUGCAUCUACCUCCUCCUGCAGCUUCUGAUCCAGCAGAAGGGGAGCAUGGGGCAGUUCAUGCAUUUGAAUAAAAUGAAGAACUUUGAAGCAAAGGCCCUCCGACGGUCAGAAAUGAAGUUCUACAACCUGGUGAAGGCCUUGGACAGGAGCCUGACGCCGGCCCAGCAUACACAGCUCAUCCUCACCCUCCUGGGAGGGCUCUGCAGCCACGACCACCUGCAGUGUGACCUGGCCUCGCAGCUGCUUCUCAUGAUCUUCCAGAACCAAAGCAUCAAGGUGGAGCAGGUGGCCGAGAUCCUGCAGGGCCUGUUCCAGGAGCUGCCCUCUAUCGUCUUCAAGAACAUCCUGCAGACCAUGAUGAAGGCUGUGACCGUGCUGGGGACUCAGCACACCCAGGAGACAGUCGAGGUGAUGCUGUCCUUGUGCCACCCCUCUGAGAGACAGGUGCUGCCCCUGUGGAAGGCCCUCGCCAACAACAACCAGCUGGCCCGCAAGGUCCUCAUGCUGCUCUACAUGAAGCUAAAACUGCGGCCCCCCAAGGAGCUCGUCAGGCUCAGCCAGCAGGCGGAGCUCAUCUCCCUGCUGGCCCUGGGUACCAUUUAUGAGCUCCUGUACACACGAGAGUACAAGGCCACGGUGCGCUGGGCCUUCGCGGGCAUCCUGGUGGGCCUGCUCACACAGCUCCACUACCUGUUCGAGCUGGACGUGGUGGAGGGCAUCUCGGACUACCAGGAGGACAGCCUGGAAGUGAAGCCUCUCAGCCCCUGCAGGACCUGCUUGGAGGCCCUCAAGGGUCUCUUCUGGACGACCAACUACUGGGAGGUGUUUGCCUAUCUCCAGCUGCUGAGAGGCUGGGAGCUCUUCGAGCACCUGGAAACCUACACGGAGGGGGUGACCCUCUUGGCUCGGGCUAUGGCCCACUACGACUGCGAGGUCAAGGCUGUCUUGGGGCAGGCCGUCAUCUCCCUCAAGAGCUCCGAGGAACGGGACAACAUCGUGGCCAUCCUCGUCAUCACCGAGUUUCUCAACAGCCAAGAGCUCACACAGUACAUGUCCCGGAGAGCCAUGGACAACUUCCUGAGCCUGGGCCUGAGCAGCCCCAACCAGCUGGUGCGCGCCAUGAGCCUGAAGGGCCUCACCAGCAUCCUGAUGGACCCCAAGAAGGUGGUCCUGCUCCGCAAUCAGCUGGCCGGGCUGCUGGACAGCUUCAUGGGGCCCGAGCCCCAGGACCUCAUGGGCCUGAUGGAGAUCCUGGGCGACAUCCUGCACAGCCUGGGCACCCAGGGCAUCGGCGCCACCAGCAUCAGGAUGGCCCAGCACCUGCUGUCACUGUUUGAGGAUGAGCAGGCCCCAGUGCGCGGCGGAGCCAUCUCCCUGUUCGGGGACGUGGUGCACAGCGGCGGCAAGAAGUACCGGCCGGCGCUGAAGAGGCAGGCCUUCCAGGCGCUGGUGCCCCUGCUCUUCCACCUGGUGGACUCCUGCCCCGCGGUGGUCAUGAAGACGAAGCUGACCUUCCUGCGCUGUGCCAUCCUGCUCAAGUGGGAGUUCCGCAAGGAGCUGUUCGGGAAGUUGGCGUGGGGCCAUGGCCUCGGUGCCGAGAACGACAUUUUCAUCUACAUGGUGUGGACUGCAGGCCGGCUUGGUGGGGGCCCCCGCAGCCCCUGGAGCGAGGCACGGAGCUCACGGCCAGCAGGUGGAGAGCAACUUCGGCAGCUACCACCAGUUUCUCAUGCAGGCGUUGAUUUACCUGGGCAGCCCCCACAAAAACCUGAAGCGGAUGGCCAUGAAGUUCAUCGGGGGCAUCCUGCAGGACUACUUUACCGACCUCUGCUUUUCCCUGAAGAGGGGCGACCUGAAAAUCUUCAAGAAAUACUUGGAGGUCCUGAAGAAGGACUCAGACUCCGUGAGCCGCAGAUUCUACCAGAACUUUCUGGAAGACAUCACUGAACUGUCGAAGUUCGUGAGGCAGUGACACCCGGCCACCGGCGCCCGGCUCCGCGUACAGGCUAUUUAUUCAUGAGAGACACGGAGAGGCAGAGAUGCAGGCAGAGGGAGGAGCAGGCUCCAUGGAGGGAGCCCAGCGUGGGACUCGAUCCCGGGACCCUGGGGACACGCCAUGGGCCCAAGGCAGAUGCUCAACCGCUGAGCCCCCCAGGCGCCCCAUGGGGCAAGGAUUUUCAGACGGAGCGAAUGUUAGGACCACAGCUCACAGAAGGUGGGACGGGCAGCACGAACCCGGCCUGACGCCCUGCAAAGACAGGCCCCCCGCCAAGAUUCUCCGCGGAGCGUCAGUAGGACCCAGUCUCACAGCCAGGUGUCCACGCGUCCAGGAUGCAGGCCAGACUGGCUUGAUCCUCGAAGGAACACGGAUGUCCCGUGGGGUGAGGACACAGGGACGGGAGGAUGCACACCCGUCUCAAUCCUCAGACAGUGAGCCAACGCCUGUGACCCCAAGACGCGGUGCGAUGGCGCAAAACCAGAACCUCUCAGUAGAGAAAUCGGGGACAGAAAAGGGACAGAGUGUCGAGACAGUGAGGUGUUGGCGGAAAAGGGCACCGACGGGUCAGGAGAACAGAGCAGGGGGCCCAGACGCACCUGCCCGAUCACAGCGGCCGAUCUUCGGCGGGGGGUGGGGGGAGCCCGUCCUCUCAUGGGGAGGUGGCCAGACCCCCGGCCGCCCGCCUUCAAAGAGGAAAAAGGGAAUCCAGGGGGGGCCUCAGCAGUCACAGGCGCCAAUCCCAGUGGGUCCUCAAGCUGAAGGCAAAACGCAGAACUAGGAAACAUCUGGAAGGUCACACAGGAGACAGUCGGUGGUGUUGGGGUCGUGGGGGUUGGGGGGACGGCGAGUUUGGAGGUUUAGCACCGAAGGCACAAUCUUUAGGGUUGACUUCUCUCCGGUUAAGAAGCUGUGCUUUGCCAAAUCUGGGGGCGCGGGAGAGAGGUGCAGGGGGAGAAGGCCCCGCAGGCCCCAGAGGACUGGGCCCUGCACCCCGGCAGCUGCAGAGCCAAUGACGCCCUGGCCACCCCACCCCCCUUGUCGCGGUCGGGGCUCUGCAGGUACUCGCGUGCGCUUGGCAAAACUCAACCCCAGCAGUAUUUUUUAAAUUGAAAUAAGUCAUGUGAAGAAAAAUAAAAAUAACAGGGACACCCGGGUGGCUCAGUGGUUG